CUUCUUCUUUUUCUUUUUAUCUUUCUUCUUUUCAUCAAGACCUGGAGCCUCCUCAAUCUGAGCUGGGUCUAUUUCAGUCUUCCUCUUCCGUGAGGCUGGUUCUUUCUCGGUCUUCUUUUCCAUUUUCGAGACCUCUUCAGUUUCGGGUUCAGCAUUGUCAACCAUGUCAUCAUCAUGUGGAACGGCUGUGUCCUCUGCAUCAGCCGCCGCCGCCUUCUUUUUCUUUUUAUCUUUCUUCUUUUCAUCAAGACCUGGAGCCUCCUCAAUCUGAGCUGGGUCUACUUCAGUCUUCCUCUUUCGUGAGGCUGGUUCUUCCUCAGCGGAAGGUUCUGUCUGUCCAAGAACAGAAUCUGCUGAAGGAUUGUAAGUCUGUAACAAAAAUAAACCAACCAAGUGAAUGUGAUAAAGAGGCCAAAAAAUCAAAAAAUUAAUAAAAUCUAAGAAUUGAGCAAUAAAUUAACAGCUGCAAACUCAAAUAGAUUGUAGACCUUGGCAGAAGUUAUCAAAGCCCCUGCUCCUUUCUUCCGGUCCUUGUCGUAAAACUCUAUCUUAGGUUUGCCUUUAGCUGACCCAGCAGAAUGACCUAGUUCUCUGCCUUCAAGAUUCCUUAAUCUAGCUUCAAGCUUCAAAAUUAAAUAAAAGAAACAAUUAGCAAAAAGACGGGGAAAAGAAAGUAGCGCACUUUUCAUGUUAUAAAAUGUAUUACCUUGGCUCGAUUCUCCAACCCCAUAGAAUUAUCUUCACCAUCACCAAGAGCAUCAUAUCGAAUUGCUAAUGCAGUUUUAGCAGCAAGAGAUCGGGCGAUUUUCCCUUUAUGUUUUGGACCAGCCUGACCAAUUAAAGAUGCAUGGUAGAUAAGACCAUACUUAGGGGUUGCAUGCUUAGUCUUUAAAGCUCUGAAAAGAGCUUUUUCUGCACCAAGAAUCUGAACCGUACUACCCGGCUGUUUUGCAAGAUUUAGCAAACUGCCCCCAUGCGCAAUGAGGCGAGCACCAACAAGUUCUCCAACAAGAGAAGUAAGAUUUGGAGCAAUGGUGUUCAUCCUGCUCUUCAAAUAAUCAUAUAAUUGAGCUCGGUACUCAGAAAGAGAGAGAACUUGAUCACACAGGUCUUUGAUAUUUAUCAGAUCAAGGUCACUAACUUCAGUUCCCAUGGAAAUCAAAGACGCUUCUUUCAGUUCUGUCUCAAUCUCUUCUGGCAAUAUCUACAAACAUAUGAAGGGAGAAAUGUAAACAGCUUUAUCCUCCAUCCAUUAAAUGAGCAAUCAUAUCAAAAUGGGAAGCAGUAAUGUCACAAAUUUUAAAAAAUUGGUUUCAAGAGUUUUGAUAUUCCACAUGAAAUAAGCAAAAUAGGCCAACAAAAACACACUAGUUAGUUCUAUUCAUUUAAUCCAAUUCAUUUAUCUGAAAAUAAAAUUUAUAGUUUGUUUCCUGACAGUUAUAGUCAUAGCAAUCAAAAGUAUAAUUGAAGAUCUCCACUGAACAUGUGGUUCAAUGAGAUCCAACACUUUGAAACCAUUGCAGUUACAGCAUCCAUUUCCAGAAUACUUUNNNNNNNNNNNNNNNNNNNNNNNNNNNNNNNNNNNNNNNNNNNNNNNNNNNNNNNNNNNNNNNNNNNNNNNNNNNNNNNNNNNNNNNNNNNNNNNNNNNNUGGUCGGGGAAUAUUCGUUUUAACAAGGAAUAUUCGUACAACGGCACAAUCAUUGGUGGACCCCACAACGGAAUUAUUGUCGGAUUAAGAAAACGGCAAAAAUACUUUAUGAAAAUAACGGCGGAAGUUUUAUCGUUAAGUGUUAAAACACCCGGUGUUAAAAGUACAGUAAUUCGCGUGGUUGCAUAGUAGCACACGGUAUUGAUUAUUGAUGCUUACGUGAUAAGUCACUCAGUUUUGUUGGUAUUAUUAAUGUAAUAAUACAGAAAAUCUUUUUAUAUAAAACAGAAUACUUUUAUAAAGUUAUUCUAUAAAUAGAAUAUAUUAUAUUCUAUUAUGCAUAGUGUUGCAUAGUGUCUGCAUAGUGUUUUGCAUAGUAAAAUCUUUUUAUAUAAAACAGAAUACUUUUAUAAAGUUAUCUGUUUUAUUAGACAAUAAUUAGAAUAUAUUAUAUUUUAUUAUGCAUAGUGUUUGCAUAGUGCCUGCAUAGUGUUUGCAUAGUAAAAUCUUUUAUAAAGUUAUUCGUUUUAUUAGAUUAUAAAUAGAAUAUAUUAUAUUUUAUUUAAAAGAUUUUGCUUUAAAUAUGGACCGUCAGAUUAAAGUAAAUCAAUCUGGACCGUUCAUGAGUUAGUUACUAUGCAGUCCAUUUUUCUAUAAAUAGAAGCUCAUUCCUUCAUUAUUUCUUACGAAUUCACUGAAACUCUAGAGAGAGAAACUAUAGAGAGAAAGAAGAAAAGUAUUCUGCUACUUCACUACUCCUAUAUCCAGUACUCUUCUUUCUAAGGUAGGGAAUAUUAUUUGUUGUACUCGUAAGGGGUAUUAUUCUUUUGUAUUCAUGAAGAGAACUUAUGUUAUUCCAUUCUUUAUUAUUCUGUUGGAAUAACCUGUAUACGCGGGCUACCCUAUACUUGGUGAAAUUCUUCUGUUAUUCCAUUCUUUAUUAUUAUGUUGGAAUAACCUGUCUAUGCGAAGUACCGCAUACAUGGUGAAAUUCUUCUGUUAUUCCAUUCUUUAUUAUUCUGUUGGAACAUCCUGUCUGUGCGUUUACGCAUGACCUGGUUCCGUUAUUUAUUAUUCUGUUGGAAUAUCCUGUCUGUGCGGUCUAUCGCAUGCCUGGUGAUUUCUUUUGUUAUUCCAUUCUUUAUUAUACUCAGUUGGUUAAAGUUUUGACUUCUAUACUCCAUGAAAUUAGUGGAAUAUCCUUGAUAUUUGCGCUUCAUCCAGUAUCUUUUCAUGGAAAUAUUCUUCUGAGCAUUCUUGAAUUUUACUCUACAAAGAAGUAUCAUGUUGACAAUUUGGACGUUAUUAGUUCCUGGAUAAAUUAAUUCUUGAACUUGUUUUAUUGAAUUCUUAUAUCAUUGUCAUCAUCCUCAUGUUUAUAUUAUGUUGAAAGUCAUCUGUGGCCUGUAGUGCAUAGAUGGACUUGGUAUGAUUAUGACCAGGGAUUAUUCGGUAUAAUCAUGACCGUAAUGUUACAAAUGAUGUGGUAAAAGUCCUCAUUGGCCCGUAGUGCAUUGAUGGACAGUUGUUGGCAUGAUCAUGACCAUUGAUGAAUACACGAAUAUCCUUGGCCCGUAGUGCAUGGAUAAUUUGUGGUUGUGAUACUAAUGAAUAUCCUUGGCCGUAGUGCAGGGAUGAUGUGGAUUAUUUAUUAAGCUGAGUCCCAGCGAUAAAAGUGAUGAAAAACCUUUUAAAUCAUAAAAGAUAGUAGAUUUUAUUCUCUACUUGACUCUUUUAAUGGAUUGCUUGUUCCGCUGCAGUUAAACUUGAUGUUUGUUAUAUUGUAUCAGUUUAACACUGUUGAAGGCUAACGAUAAUUUAUUCUGCAUUAUCUUAGUCAUAAUAUUUCUUACUGGGCUAGUUGAGCUCACCCUUUUACUUUCAUUGUUCUCUUCAGGAAAUGAGAACGUAGCAGGGACUAGUCGGGGAACGGAGUGACGGACCAGAUGAUAGCAUUAGUAGUCCUCACUAUUCUGUGAAAUAGUGUGAUAAUAAUUGUAAUGAGGACUCCUUUUGAGUUUGUAUAAUCUCUAGUAGACAAUAUUUGUAUUCAAACUCACAGUUUAUGUUUUGUCGUAUUGUACACGACAGUUGUAUUAGUAAGUUGUAUUUAAAUUCUGUACCAUGUAUCUGACGACCCAAGAUGGGUGAUGUAUACCUAAUUUUGGGGGCGUCACAUUCUUGGUUAACAAUUCAUCGCAACUGUAUAAUUAAAUAGAGAGUUAUGAGAUUUGAAUGAAGUUUGGGAUGAAAUUGAAUUCUUAACUUUAUUUAUUUAGUUAGUUAUAUUUUAUUAUUUAGUUAUGUAUUUUUAGUGUUUAGUUUAAUUAUUAAUUUUAGUUAAUUAAUCCAUUUAAAUACGAUUAACUUGAUAUAAAAUUGGUACUUGGAAAAUGUUAGAAUUAAUUCCUCGUGGGAACGAUAAUCUUAUUGUCACUAUAUUACUAUGUCGAUCGUGUAUAUUUGUGUGUAUUUUCUAAGUAGUAAAUUUAGGCAAAUAAAUUUUUUACACUGUUGCCGAGGAAUUAUUUUUCUAAUGUUUUUCCAAUAUUGAUUUCAAUCAAAUUUAUCUUAAUUUAAACUUGUAUUUUUGUUGUAGUUAAUUUGUUUUACUUUUGUUUUUCCAGAUCAUGCAUCUUAGCAGAUAAUAGAAGACGGUUGCGGAGAGCGACAACUAACUUCUUGUAGACACUCAAAAAUUCAUUUUUCUGUUACUAACUAUGUAGGAGGACAAAAUCGUCUUUUUCACACUCUAGAGAUAACUAUUCUGGGCGACGGGUGAACCGUCGCCAUAACCCAAAAAAUUUGUCGCCAUAACUCGACUGUGUAAUACAUGGCUGUGUAUAUACAUAUAGUCCUAUAAAUAAAUAAUGUUAUAUAAGAAAAAUUAAAUAUAAAUUUUGAACAAUCUUUGAUGAGUAUACUAUUAAUAAUAAAAUUUUAAGAAAAAAAUUAGUAACACUAUCAAUUCAUUAAAUCAAAAUAAAAGACUACAACAACAUUUAUUAAAUUAAUUAUUGAUCAAUUUGUUAAAGAAAAAUAAAAAAACAAUUUGUACAUAACAUUUAUUUAUAAUAAUAAAACAAGAUGAAUAUUGAAUAUAAUUUUUAAUUAUCAACAAGUAUGUAAAAAAAAUAUCAUUAAACACAACUUCCUAUUUAAACAUUGCACAUAGCAGAAUACACUUGAAAAGUAGAGUUUGAAAUCCAUGAUAAGAGAGUAAAAUUUAACACUGCGGAUAUAACUACUGAAACUACAAAGUAAUUUACUCUGGCAUAAUUUUCUCAGGCUUCUUACUCUUCACUUUUCUUCUUCUUUUUCUGUUUCUUCUUUCUCGGGGUUUCAGUUUCUUCACCAGGUUCAGCAUGCUUUCUCUUCUUUUUCUUCUUUUCUCCAGCUUCAACAUUUUCUGCUCCUUUCUGCAACUCAGCAACUUCAGCUGAUUGCUUUUCCUUUUUCUUCUUUUCCUUUUUCGAGACCUCUUCAAUUUCGGGUUCAGCAUUGUCAACCGUGUCGUCAUCAUGUGGAAUGGCUGUGUCCUCUGCAUCAGUCGCCUUCUUCUUUUUCUUUUUAUCUUUCUUCUUUUCAUCAAGACCUGGAGCCUCCUCAAUCUGAGCUGGGUCUAUUUCAGUCUUCCUCUUCCGUGAGGCUGGUUCUUUCUCGGUCUUCUUUUCCAUUUUCGAGACCUCUUCAGUUUCGGGUUCAGCAUUGUCAACCAUGUCAUCAUCAUGUGGAACGGCUGUGUCCUCUGCAUCAGCCGCCGCCGCCUUCUUUUUCUUUUUAUCUUUCUUCUUUUCAUCAAGACCUGGAGCCUCCUCAAUCUGAGCUGGGUCUACUUCAGUCUUCCUCUUUCGUGAGGCUGGUUCUUCCUCAGCGGAAGGUUCUGUCUGUCCAAGAACAGAAUCUGCUGAAGGAUUGUAAGUCUGUAACAAAAAUAAACCAACCAAGUGAAUGUGAUAAAGAGGCCAAAAAAUCAAAAAAUUAAUAAAAUCUAAGAAUUGAGCAAUAAAUUAACAGCUGCAAACUCAAAUAGAUUGUAG
rnacentral:lncRNA from 1 species